UGCUACGUUCAUACCACGUUGAAUACACCAGUUCUCGUCCGAUCACUGAAGUUAAGCAACGUCGAGCGUGGAUAGUACUUGGAUGGGUGACCGCUUGGGAACACCACGUAACGUUGGCG
rnacentral:rRNA from 1 species